GAUCCUUAGAGAGGAAGGGAUUUUUGGCACAGAAUUGGGAUAGCAAGUGUUGAAUUGGGCUACUGUUCCAGCAACACCUUCUACCGAACCUUUGGUUUAGGGUCAGUGGCUCAAUCUAGAUACGACCACAGUUCCGACAGAGGGUGCUCCAUCGACAAAUUAACGACGAAGUAUACGAAUUUGGGACUUUGUUUGGAGACAAACGUCUGGAUACGGGAUUUAUUGCGAUACAGACUACGUAUAAAGG